CCAUGCCGAAGACAGUAGGUGUCGAAAGACGUAAGUUUAAUCGCCUACCGAGGAGAAAAGUUUUGGAUUAAAUUUUGCUCUCUCGCUUUGUCGGCGGGAGAUUUUUUAUUCA
rnacentral:sRNA from 1 species